CGGCACCACACAGCUUGCAGAAGGCAGAGGUGCUCAGCUCGCUGCCCUGAUCCUGCACCCUGGGGAGCUGCUGGCUCCUGGAGAGGCUCUGCUGAGCCUGAGCUGAGCCUGCCUGGCAUGGCCACCGAGACAGGAAGGAGAGCUUUUGAGAUCCUCGUGCCAAUCUUGGCCGGCUCCAAGCAGCUCCACUUCUUCUUUCUGGUGUCCCACAGAAAGUCUCUGCUUCCUGCCUCAGUGAUGUGUCAGGGCCAGCUCAUUUAGCAGCCCCCCUGAUGCUGGCAUACUCGGAGCGUUCAGCACCAGGGCUCCCGCUGGGCCAUCGUGCUGCAGGCAGGGGCUGCAGGUCAGCGUAGUGGAUGUCCUUGUCCACCUCGCCGCUUUGCUGGUGGGGCAGCUUUGGGUUCUCUACAUCCUGGAGUUCACUGGGGGUCCCAGGGCUCCCUG
rnacentral:lncRNA from 1 species